rnacentral:lncRNA from 1 species
UUUUCUUAUAUAUAUAUAUAUAUAUAUAUAUAUAUAUAUAUAUAUAUAUCAAUAGCAUCAAGCUAUUGGUCCUAUUCAUUUUUUAGCCCUUAGAUUGAGAAAUAGAUGGUUAGGAUGAUGUGGGCCCCCUAAGGUUGAGUGAGUGGUUGGUUGAAUAGUAUAAUCUAACGGGUAAAAAUAAUCAGGGUUAAAUCUAACGGUGGAAAACUCAAUAGCACCAAAUCCUUAGUGCUAUCGAUAGUACCCAGCCGGACUCUAUAUAUAUAGAAUUUGACCGGAGAUAGUACAAAGUUGUUG